GCCUUCUGGGUGUAGUGGUCAGCAAGCUCGACGCGUAACCGAGAGGUCCCUGGUUCGAUUCCCGGUGAAGGCG
rfam:Stegodyphus mimosarum contig38136, whole genome shotgun sequence.